AGCAGUAGCCGCGGGAAUACGGAGGGGGCUAGCGUUGUUCGGAAUUACUGGGCGUAAAGCGCACGUAGGCGGCUUGGUAAGUUAGAGGUGAAAGCCCGGAGCUCAACUCCGGAAUUGCCUUUAAGACUGCCGAGCUAGCAGGUGAGAGAGGUAAGUGGAAUUCCGAGUGUAGAGGUGAAAUUCGUAGAUAUUCGGAAGAACACCGAUGGCGAAGGCAGCCCCCUGGGAUAACACUGACGCUCAUGCACGAAAGCGUGGGGAGCAAACAGGAUUAGAUACCCCCGUAGUCCCUGUCUCUUAUAC
rnacentral:rRNA from 1 species